AGGUGGUCACUGGCCGGAACAUUGAAAUACUUAAAAUGAUGACUCUAACAGUAAUAAGUGGUGAGCAAAUCAAGUACUCAAUCUUUUUGUCUUUUUCACGGCAAAGGAACAGAUUGGUACAUAGGAAAUCCAUGCAAUGAAAAUGAAAAGACAGCUUAGGUUUGCAAUGGAGCUACCUAUGUCAAUGUAGAUGUGCUGGACAACAAGAAAGAUAAGGGUAAAAUGAUAUUAGUUGAAGCGCAACACAAAGUGUUGGGAUGUUGUCAUAUACAUUUUUAAGGAGCACAGGGAAAGAAGAUAUUGUUGUUCCUAUGAUAGGACUUCCUAACUACUGCGAAGAACAUAUAUAUUCUUCUUGUUCGAAAAGUUUCAGUGAAGAUAGUUACAAUAUGAGAGGCACAUAAAGUAUUAAAUACGGUUUUUUGUAUUUGGCAAUGUGAAGAUUGAUUUUGUCAAGAGAGAAGGAACAUGGGAGAUGUUGCUUUGAUCUUCAGCUGAUGAUUGGAAAAGAAAUUCAGACAUGAUAGCACAAUAGUCUCCAUAUGAAAGUGAAGAGGAUCUCUUCCAGCAGCAUUGAUGUUCUGGAUAACACCUGAUGAAUUUAGACUGCGUUUGGGAUUGAAGUUACAAGUCAAGAUGCAAGUUUGGAAGAUGCACAAGCUCAUAUUAUUUUGCUAGGAAUGUUAUGGAAAACUCAAUAUCAUAGUCUAGCUCGGGAUAUUAGCUAAGAUUUUUGUUAAGGUGUUAGAGCAAAUAUUGAAACUAACAUCAUAGAUCGUUAACCAUUUUAUUGUAAUUCUCUCUCUCUC